UAAACCUGUGGCGUAUGAAAGUUCCCAGGCUAGAGGUUGAAUCAGAGCUGCAGCUGAGAGCCUAUGGCACAGCUACAGCACCAGAUCCCAGCCCCGUCAGUAACCUACACUUCGGCUUGGGGCAAGGCCAGAUCCUCAACCCAGUGAGGCAGGCCAGGAAUCAAACCCGCAUUCUCACGGAUGCUCUGUGGGGUUCUUAACCCACUGAGCCACGUUUUGGGAACUUCUAAAAGUUUUCUUAAGGUAGUUCAUUGGAUCCAGUAUAUCCAUAAUAUUUUUACUUAAACAUAUAAUCAGUAUAAAAAUGACUAAUGUGGCAUUUUACAUUAAAAUUUUUUGAUGUCUGUUUAAAUUUUUUUUUAAAUUGAGAUAUAAUUGGCAUAUAACAUUGUGUUAUUUCAGGUAUAUAACAUAAUGAUUUUAUUUUAGUUUUGGAGCAGUUCAAUAAUUGUUUUAAUCUUGAAAGAAAUCAUCUUCGAACAAAAUGGUAACGUUUUAAGAAUUCAGAGAGUGUAAUAAAGAUGUCAGAACUGUCCAGAUGCUCAUUGUGCAAUUGGAAACCACUCAAAAGUUGACACAAGUCUCCAAAAAAGAAAAAGAAAAAAAGGUCAAUGAGCUCAUUCAUUCUUGCAACAUCUGCCAGAAGCUACGGCUUCUUCUUCUUCUUCUUCUUUUUUUUUGUCUUUUUGCCAUUUUCUUGGGUUGCUCCUGCAGCAUAUGGAGGUUCCCAGGCUAGGGGUCGAAUUGGUGCUACAGCUGCUGGCCUACACCACAGCCACAGCAAGGCCAGAUCCCCGCCCCGCUGAUGCCAGGGAUCGAACCCACAUCCUCAUGGGUAGCGGUCAGGUUUGUUUCCACUGGGCCACAACGGGAACUCUCAACAAGCUUGUUUUCAGUUGAUUGUUAACUGCUGUUUGCAGGCUCAUUUACCUGGACCAUCAACUUACUGUUGCUUUUCCCUCUGCAGAAAGGCAGAAACACUCCAGAUGUCCUCCAAUAGUUACCAAGUUUCAAUCCCGAUGUCAAAAAGGAACACCAAUGGCCUGCCGGGGUCCAGCUCCAAUGAGCUGAAGACGUCUGCUGGGGGAGCUGUGUUAAGCUUUCAUGACAUCUGCUAUCGAGUGAAAGUGAAGAGUGGCUUUCUUUUUUGUCGGAAAACGGUUGAGAAGGAAAUACUGACGAACAUCAAGUACGUCGUCCAUGAACUUUUACUGAAACAGGUUCAUUGUCGUGCAGUGCGCGUCUCAGGUUUUGCUUAGUGCAGAUCAAGGUACCGGUCUGCACAGGUAGACAGACACACGCUCUUCAUUGCUUUCGGCUAAACGAGCUGAGCGGUGAGCCAGUUGGAUGAGAUGUUGGGUGUAUGUAUGUACAUGUAAGACAACUGGAGCUUAGCUCACGUCUAAGAGACGGAAGAGAGUUUAGGACCCAAAGUAACACACUCGGUUGUCUUACAGAAUUCAAGUCCGUACAAAACUAUGAUUUUUCUUCCCGCCAUCCAGCAACUGACUCAUCACAUGGUGGUGGCGUGGGCGAUAGAGGGACCCCUGAGUGUGAGAAUAAGGAGAGGAAUGGGAGGUGAAAAGCUUUUAUCUUUUGCUGCAUAUGCCCAGACUAGCAUCGACCGACCUUUCUGAAAAGCUGCCAGGUUAUUUGUGGAGCAAAGAAUGAAGAAAAGUGCUGGUCACUUGAGAUGUUUUGCUGCUAAAUGGAAGUUAGCAAAUGAUUUGCAAUAUGUGCAGGUUGAGUAAAUUGAAUAUAUUACUGCUCGAGGGUAUAUUUGUCUUGCUUAUGUUUUGUUUGUUUGUUUGUUUGUCUUUUUUGCCAUUUCUGGGGCUGCACCCGAGGCGUAUAGAGGUUCCCAGGCCAGGGGUCCAAUCAGAACUGCAGCCGCUGGCCUACACCACAGCCCACUGAGCAAGGACGGGGAUCGAACCCGCAAUCUCAUGGUUCCUAGUCGGAUUCAUUACCCACUGAGCCACGAUGGGAACUCCCUUGCUUAUGUUUUAAAGCUAGUAGUGUGUUAACUUGCUAACACUAAUGGUGUCGUCUGCUCAAGGCUUUACAGUGUUUUUAUGGUUGAGUGGUAUGCAUUUCAGCAACAGGUGAGUUCAUCCUUACACGCAUUUCUAGGUUCAUAAAAACUCAGUCAAAUCUUGUAAUCAUUUCAAAUUUUAGUAAUUAAGAGGAUGCCAGGGAUUGUUUUUCUUGCUUACUCACAUUUCUGGUGUAGGCAGUGGUGUUUCUUUUUCCUAUUUGCUGGUUUCAACUGAGUUUGUCUAGGAUGGGCAAAGGGUGCUCUCAUUUAUCUUGUUUAUUUGUUUAUUUUUUUAGGAGUGCAACUGAGGCAUAUGGAAGUUCCCAGGCUAGAGGUCAAAUCAGAACCACAGCCACAUGGAUCCAAGCCCUAUCUGCAACCUUCGUUGAAACUCAUGGCAAUGCUAGAUCCUUAACCCACUGAGCGAGGCCAGGAAUCGAACCUCCAUCCUCAUGGAUACUAGUUGGGUUUGUAACCCACUGAGCUAUAGCAGGAGCUCCGUCACUUUGUUUCUUUAUGUGCUCACUGCUGUUGAUAUUUUUCUGGACCAUGUGAGAACAGGCUGCCCAUAUGAUGUUCCAUUAUCACCACCUCCUCCAGUAAAUAUUUCUAGAGACAGGGACUCUCCCUUAUAUAACCACUCAGUCAUUGCCUGGGAGCAGUCCAGGGGUGGCCUCAGCCUGAACAUAGGGGCGGGUCCUGGGGGGCUGCUGCUCAGCCACGCUUCUCAGCACGUUGUGUCUCUUCAGUCUCAUCCACGCUGUCGUUUUUCUGUCCCAUCCCUUAACCUUGAUUACCUGCCCAGGUUGGGGUCUGCCAGCCUUCUUUAGUAUAAUGUCACCAUCAUCCCCUUUGUAAUUGAUAAAUAUUAUGAAGGGAGAUACUCUAACAUUAUUCCAU
rnacentral:lncRNA from 1 species